rnacentral:rRNA from 1 species
UACGGAGGGGGCUAGCGUUGUUCGGAAUUACUGGGCGUAAAGCGCGCGUAGGCGGAUCGUUAAGUCGGGGGUGAAAUCCUGGAGCUCAACUCCAGAACUGCCUUCGAUACUGGCGAUCUUGAGUCCGGGAGAGGUGAGUGGAACUCCGAGUGUAGAGGUGAAAUUCGUAGAUAUUCGGAAGAACACCAGUGGCGAAGGCGGCUCACUGGCCCGGUACUGACGCUGAGGUGCGAAAGCGUGGGGAGCAAACAGGG